rnacentral:piRNA from 1 species
UCUGUAAAAUUUUCUCUCUGAGGUCAGAAA